AGCGAACGCUGGCGGCAGGCUUAACACAUGCAAGUCGAACGCCCGGGCAACCGGGAGUGGCAGGCGGGUGAGUAACGCGUGGGAACAUGCCCUUUGGUUCGGAAUAACUCAGGGAAACUUGAGCUAAUACCGGAUAAGCCCUUAUGGGGAAAGAUUUAUCGCCGAAGGAUUGGCCCGCGUCCGAUUAGCUAGUUGGUGAGGUAAUGGCUCACCAAGGCGACGAUCGGUAGCUGGUCUGAGAGGAUGAUCAGCCACACUGGGACUGAGACACGGCCCAGACUCCUACGGGAGGCAGCAGUGGGGAAUAUUGGACAAUGGGCGCAAGCCUGAUCCAGCCAUGCCGCGUGAGUGAUGAAGGCCUUAGGGUUGUAAAGCUCUUUCGGCGGGGACGAUAAUGACGGUACCCGCAGAAGAAGCCCCGGCUAACUUCGUGCCAGCCGCCGCAGUAAAAC
rnacentral:rRNA from 1 species